rnacentral:rRNA from 1 species
AUUGAACGCUGGCGGCAGGCCUAACACAUGCAAGUCGAGCGGAUGAAGGGAGCUUGCUCCUGGAUUCAGCGGCGGACGGGUGAGUAAUGCCUAGGAAUCUGCCUGGUAGUGGGGGAUAACGUCCGGAAACGGGCGCUAAUACCGCAUACGUCCUGAGGGAGAAAGUGGGGGAUCUUCGGACCUCACGCUAUCAGAUGAGCCUAGGUCGGAUUAGCUAGUUGGUGGGGUAAAGGCCUACCAAGGCGACGAUCCGUAACUGGUCUGAGAGGAUGAUCAGUCACACUGGAACUGAGACACGGUCCAGACUCCUACGGGAGGCAGCAGUGGGGAAUAUUGGACAAUGGGCGAAAGCCUGAUCCAGCCAUGCCGCGUGUGUGAAGAAGGUCUUCGGAUUGUAAAGCACUUUAAGUUGGGAGGAAGGGCAGUAAGUUAAUACCUUGCUGUCUUGACGGUACCAACAGAAUAAGCACCGGCUAACUUCGUG